GAUGAACGCUGGCGGCGUGCCUAAUACAUGCAAGUCGAGCGAACAGACGAGGAGCUUGCUCCUCUGACGUUAGCGGCGGACGGGUGAGUAACACGUGGAUAACCUACCUAUAAGACUGGGAUAACUUCGGGAAACCGGAGCUAAUACCGGAUAAUAUAUUGAACCGCAUGGUUCAAUAGUGAAAGACGGUUUUGCUGUCACUUAUAGAUGGAUCCGCGCCGCAUUAGCUAGUUGGUAAGGUAACGGCUUACCAAGGCAACGAUGCGUAGCCGACCUGAGGGGUUGACGGGCCACACGGGAACGGGGACACGGUCCAACCCCCAACGGGAGGCAGCGGAGGGAAUUCUGCCGCAAUGGGCAAAAGCUUGACGGAGCAACGCCGCGUGGUUGAUGAAGGUCUCCGAUUCGUAAAACUCUGUUAUUAGGGAAAAACAAAGGUGAAAUAAACUAUGCACGUCUUGACGGUCCCAAAUCAGAAAGCCACGGUUACUACGUG
rnacentral:rRNA from 1 species